GAGGGAAACAGCUCAGUGGUAGAGCGCAUGCUUAGCAUGCAUGAGGUCCUGGGUUUAAUCCUUGGUACCUCCA
rnacentral:tRNA from 1 species